rnacentral:misc_RNA from 1 species
UGUGGGAGCGGGCUUGCUCGCGAUACAGGCUAUGGGGCGCUACCGUUACACCGCGCCGAUGCCAUCGCGAGCAAGCCCGCUCCCACA